GAUGAACGCUGGCGGCGUGCUUAACACAUGCAAGUCGAACGGGAAACAUUUUAUUGAAGCUUCGGCAGAUUUAGUUUGUUUCUAGUGGCGGACGGGUGAGUAACGCGUGGGCAACCUGCCUUGCACUGGGGGAUAACAGCCAGAAAUGGCUGCUAAUACCGCAUAAGACCGAAGCGCCGCAUGGCGCGGCGGCCAAAGCCCCCGGCGGUGCAAGAUGGGGCCCCGCGUCUGAUUAGGUAGUUGGCGGGGUAACGGCCCACCAAGCCGACGAUCAGUAGCCGACCUGAGAGGGUGACCGGGCCACAUUGGGACUGAGAGACGGCCCAGACUCCUACGGGAGGCAGCAGUGGGGAAUAUUGCACAAUGGGGGAAACCCUGAUGCAGCGACGCCGCGUGAAGGAUGAAGUAUUUCGGUAUGUAAAGCUCUAUC
rnacentral:rRNA from 1 species